GUUGCACUCUCUCCGUCCCAUAUUAAGUGUUGCAAUUUUGUCUAGAUACGCAUGUACCUACAUACUAAAAAGCGUCUAGAUACAUGCAUAUCUAGACAAAGUUGCAACACUAAAUAUGGGACGGAGGGAGUACAUU
rfam:Brachypodium distachyon strain Bd21 chromosome 1, whole genome shotgun sequence.